rnacentral:ncRNA from 1 species
AAUGAUCAAAAUAACCUUCGUAUAAGCCUAAAAAUAUGGUUUGGGCGUCUCUACUAUAUCACCGUAAAUGAUAUUAACUAUGAAGUAAAAU